ACACACCACACGACAAUUUAACUUGGGAAUAUUAAAGACCACCAACCAGAGAAACAGGAAAACGAAGCUACUCUGUCUUCUGUGUCUAUCGUUUCGUUGAUUAUGGCUGUCCCUCUAUUUGAUUAGCUUUGACUCUUUCUGUCUAGUGGCUUCUUCGAUGUUUGGCAUUGGUCGCGUUCGGCGACUAUUCAAAAUCGGUGCUACUGUAACUGUUUGCGGAAAUAAAGUUCAUGAACAAAUGUUUUAAAAACGAAUAUCAAACUAGCCCAAAAUGUUUGGUAUUUGAGAACUUGAGGAUGGAAAACUUAUAUAAGUCGUUGGUGAUAAUAAAAUACUGUGAACAUAUAUGUACAUUGGAAAGCUGAGCAUAUCAAAAAUGAUGACUGUUUUUGAUAUAUGGACUAUUUAUUUCCUAUUUGAUUACAACCACACAAACUUAUCUCGAUAGCUUCCGAUUUAUCCACGGAACAGAUUAAUUUUACCUACUUCGUUUUGGGCGUUUACUAAUAUUCCCGAUACUAAGAAGCAAUUAUAAUAGCUAUCACUGGUUUUCA